rnacentral:rRNA from 1 species
UGGGGAAUUUUGGACAAUGGGCGAAAGCCUGAUCCAGCAAUGCCGCGUGUGUGAAGAAGGCCUUCGGGUUGUAAAGCACUUUUGUCCGGAAAGAAAUCCUUGGCUCUAAUACAGUCGGGGGAUGACGGUACCGGAAGAAUAAGCACCGGCUAACUACGUGCCAGCAGCCGCGGUAAUACGUAGGGUGCAAGCGUUAAUCGGAAUUACUGGGCGUAAAGCGUGCGCAGGCGGUUUGCUAAGACCGAUGUGAAAUCCCCGGGCUCAACCUGGGAACUGCAUUGGUGACUGGCAGGCUAGAGUAUGGCAGAGGGGGGUAGAAUUCCACGUGUAGCAGUGAAAUGCGUAGAGAUGUGGAGGAAUACCGAUGGCGAAGGCAGCCCCCUGGGCCAAUACUGACGCUCAUGCACGAAAGCGUGGGGAGCAAACAGGAUUAGAUACCCCUGGUAGUCCACGCCCUAAACGAUGUCAACUAGUUGUUGGGGAUUCAUUUCCUUAGUAACGUAGCUAACGCGUGAAGUUGACCGCCUGGGGAGUACGGUCGAAGAUUAAAACUCAAAUGAAUUGACGGGGUCAUAGCUGUUUCC